rfam:Archaeoglobus sulfaticallidus PM70-1, complete genome.
GCCGAUGAUGACUGAUGGGCGAUCUGAAAUGUGAUGAAAAGGGAGAGUCUGAGG